CCAGGAUCCUUACCAAUGCGACUGGUAUUCCCCUGCACUAGGGAGCAAUGUCAUCACCACUAUGAUGAUCUGCACUACAGAAAAAGGAAUACCCUUGAUUGCUGGAUCAGGGAGUGUCAGGCAGGGCACACCGCAGACAUGUGCAUCUGCUGAAGAGUGGUCCUCAAAUGUGAGGUCCCAUGCCACCAGACUGGCCAGGAUACAACAAGCAUGUGGUUUGCACAUUCAGUGCCCUGUCAGUAUCAGCUGUGGGAAAAACUCCAAAAAGCCAUGACAAACUGUUGAAAUUAAAAGCUGGAAGAUGUGAAGCCCAAAUGCAAAAACCACCGCCAAAUUUAAAAACACGAAACUCUUUAAUGUAAGCGCUUUCGGAAGAAAUGGUAUUCUUCCUUCUUCAGACAAACAACUUUACAAACAUAACGGUCUUUAAAUAAACUUUCAAGUCAUGUGAUCAGA